rnacentral:rRNA from 1 species
CCUACGGGAGGCAGCAGUAGGGAAUCUUCCACAAUGGGCGCAAGCCUGAUGGAGCAACGCCGCGUGGGUGAAGAAGGUCUUCGGAUCGUAAAACUCUGUUGUUAGAGAAGAAAGUGCGUGAGAGUAACUGUUCACGUUUCGACGGUAUCUAACCCGAAAGCCACGGCUAACUACGUGCCAGCAGCCGCGGUAAUACGUAGGUGGCAAGCUUUAUCCGGAUGUAUUGGGCGUAAAGGGAACGCAGGCGGUCUUUUACGUCUGAUGUGAAAGCCUUCGGCUUAACCGGAGUAGUGCAUUGGAGACUGGGAGACUUGAGGGCAGAAGAGGAGAGUGGAACUCCAUGUGUAGCGGUGAAAUGCGUAGAUAUAAGGAAGAACACCAGUGGCGAAAGCGGCUCUCUGGUCUGUAACUGACGCUGAGGUUCGAAAGCGUGGGUAGCAAACAGGAUUAGAUACCCUAGUAGUC